rnacentral:tRNA from 1 species
UAGCUCAGUUGGUAGAGCAUCCGGCUGUUAACCGGCAGGUCGCAGGUUCGAGUCCUGCUUUCGGAGCCA